GUCUACGGCCAUGCCACCCUGAACAAGCCCGAUCCCGUCUGAUCUCGGAAGCUAAGCAGGAUGGUACCUGGUUAGUACUUGGAUGGGAGACCACCUAGGAAGACCGGGUGCUGGAGGCA
rnacentral:rRNA from 1 species